UGGGGAAUUUUGCACAAUGGGGGAAACCCUGAUGCAGCGACGCCGCGUGAUUUAGAAGGCCUUCGGGUUGUAAAAAUCUUUUCUAUGGGAAGAAAAUGACAGUACCAUAGGAAUAAGGACCGGCUAAUGACGUGCCAGCAGCCGCGGUAAUACGUAAGGUCCGAGCGUUGUCCGGAAUCAUUGGGCGUAAAGGGUACGUAGGCGGGUAAGCAAGUUAGAAGUGAAAUCCUAUAGCUCAACUAUAGUAAGCUUUUACAACUGCUCAUCUUGAGGUAUGGAAGGGCAAGUGGCAUUCCUAGUGUAGCGCUGAAAUGCGCAGAUAUUAGGAGGAAUCCCGGUGGCGAAGGCGACUUUCUGGCCAUAACCUGACGCUGAGGUCCGAAAGCGUUGGUAGCACCCAGG
rnacentral:rRNA from 1 species